GACGAACGCUGGCGGCGUGCUUAACACAUGCAAGUCGAACGGAAAGGCCCUGCUUUUGUGGGGUGCUCGAGUGGCGAACGGGUGAGUAACACGUGAGUAACCUGCCCUUGACUUUGGGAUAACUUCAGGAAACUGGGGCUAAUACCGGAUAGGAACUCCUGCUGCAUGGUGGGGGUUGGAAAGUUUCGGCGGUUGGGGAUGGACUCGCGGCUUAUCAGCUUGUUGGUGGGGUAGUGGCUUACCAAGGCUUUGACGGGUAGCCGGCCUGGGAGGGUGACCGGCCACAUUGGGACUGAGAUACGGCCCAGACUCCUACGGGAGGCAGCAGUGGGGAAUAUUGCACAAUGGGCGGAAGCCUGAUGCAGCAACGCCGCGUGCGGGAUGACGGCCUUCGGGUUGUAAACCGCUUUCGCCUGUGACGAAGCGUGAGUGACGGUAAUGGGUAAAGAAGCACCGGCUAACUACGUG
rnacentral:rRNA from 1 species